CUGGGCCUCUGGUUGUGGCGAGCGGUGGCUGCUCUCGCUGCAGAGCGUGGGCUCAGCAGUUGGGGUGCACAGCUGGAAUGCAGACAUGAUAGAUGGAGCAUGGGCAGCUGCAUUGGACCAUGAGGGAGUACAACAGCAAGAUAGGAAAAAGGCUGGUUCCUGAUGGUCAUGGAACUUCCCUACCAGCCUUGGAAAGGUCACCUCAGGACUGUAUUUGUAUGAGAGAAAUGCACGGAAACCUCUGUGACUUGGGGAUUUCAGAUGUUGCCAUAAACCUAAUACUGGCUGAAACACAUUACUUGGAGGAAGCAGAAGGUGACUAUAACAGUAAGCGCAGUGGAAAAUAAUAUUCUAAAACUGUUGAUAGAUUCAGCCACCCUUCAAGUCUAUGAACCCAGGAGCUGCUCUUGUUUUAAAAAAAAGAAUAAAAAAAAGGAAUUAGUCAUCAUGACUUGAAACUGACUCUCAGCUGGUUCAGGAC
ensembl:lncRNA